rnacentral:rRNA from 1 species
AUUGAACGCUGGCGGAAUGCUUUACACAUGCAAGUCGAGCGGCAGCGCGGCCUUCGGGCUGGCGGCGAGCGGCGAACGGGUGAGUAAUGCAUCGGAACAUGCCCAGUCGUGGGGGAUAACACUUCGAAAGAAGUGCUAAUACCGCAUACGUCCUGAGGGGGAAAGCGGGGGAUCGCAAGACCUCGCGCGAUUGGAGUGGCCGAUGUCAGAUUAGCUAGUUGGUGGGGUAAAGGCCUACCAAGGCGACGAUCUGUAGCUGGUCUGAGAGGAUGAUCAGCCACACUGGGACUGAGACACGGCCUAGACUCCUACGGGAGGCAGCAGUGGGGAAUUUUGGACAAUGGGGGCAACCCUGAUCCAGCCAUUCCGCGUGAGUGAAGAAGGCCUUCGGGUUGUAAAGCUCUUUCGGCAGGAACGAAACGGUGGGCUCUAACAUAGUCCGCUAAUGACGGUACCUGAAGAAGAAGCACCGGCUAACUACGUG